rnacentral:lncRNA from 1 species
UUGCAUUUUUGGGUGCAGGGAAAUUUUGGAAACAUCAUUUGGAGCAUUAGGGAAGGUGGCGUGAUCAUUCAAGACUCAACAUUUAGUCACUUCCAUUUUAAUUAAGUUGUAAUUUCGUUUUUAGAAACUUUAAUCAAGCUUAAGUGCAUUUGGGCCCUUUUUGGUGGCAAAAUUGUAGAAGCCCAAUGUGUGGGACACUUUGCAUAGAUCCUAGGGUUUCCUUAGAGGUGGACCCCACCAAUUUUAGGGAUUUUGGAUGGCAUUUUAGAGCAAUUGCCGAGACACACAAUAGUAGGUCUCCACUUUUCAUUUUUCACUUUGCAUGUAUGAACUCUCUCUUGGAGACCAUGUAGGGUUUUACGUUUUUGGAGCUAUGGAAUGACCAAGAUCAUGUUUUUCUUCUUCUCUUACUUAAAUAUUGUUUAUCUUUGCUUGGUGGAAGUGAAUCCCUCACCCAUUUUCCUUUCAUUUCUUCUUGAAAGUUGAGAGCAUGAGCUUUAGUCUUGAGGUGGUUUCUUGCAUUUGUCAUUAUGGGUCUUUGGUUUGAAUGAAGAGCUAUUUCGUUUUUCUCCUUCUUUGCUGCCAUAUUUUCAUAUUUACUUUGAGUUUCUUGGAUUGGAUCAUGAAAAUGAAGUUCUUGUUAAGUUUGGUAGUGAAAAAGGCUUGAGUUGGUGUAUGGGUGUUUCAUGUUUGAACCCUUUUCUUCUUGUGCUUUUGUUGACGGUUGGAAGCAAUAUUUGGAGCUGGACAUUUUGUUUGUUGAUGAUGGCUGGACGGUGCAGCAAGGGGAGCUAGGGAUUGGAUUUUGUUUUCAUUAAAAAUUUGAAGAAAAGUGAGUGUUGAAGUUGGGUUGAAGAAGAUAGACUUUGGGUUUGUUGUGCUUGUGUUAUUUUGAUGUUGAACUUUGGAAUUCUUGUGCUCAUUCUCGGUAUUCAGAUGUGGAGAGACAAUUUGAAGGUUGGUGUUGGCGAGAAAAAUGAAAAUGGAGUGGAGAAGGAAGAGAGAAGGUGCAUUUAAUUUUUACCCGAUUUGGACAAGCACAAAAGAUGCUCAUUUUCACCCAAAGAAUGUUUCCACUUUUGGCUUUGUCUUUAGUGAAGAAUUCUGCCGAGAAUUGCACAUGAGAAGGGAGGUUUUUGGUGUUUAAUUUCAUUUGACUUUGCUUACAUGGCAUCUUGGUUGGACCACCCAAAGUAUCUUUCAUUUACCCCUUGGUUUGAAGCACUUUUUGUAGAAUUUCUCUCUAGCUCACAUAAGUUUUGUUCCUUGGUGUGUGGAUCACGUUUUUGCUGCAUGGGAAGGGAGGAAAACAUGGUUUUAUUGUGUGUUUAAGGCACAUGCUUAUUUCCUUGAAUAAUGGUGCACAUGGGAUAAGAAGUCAACACAUUUUGGUGGCUUAUUGAAGGUGGAAAUUAAAGUUUGACUUGUUGAAACAUGACUCAUGGCCAAGAGGUUUCCUUAGGCCAUUUGGACUUUUAAUUUAUUUGUUAAUUGCAUAUUGGGUCACUUAAUUUACUAGAAGUAAAAUAGGCUUGUUAAUUUCUCUUGUUUUCACUUAGUUUAAUUAGUAGGUUGAGUUGUAUUAAUUUUAACUGUGUUUGUUAAUUUGUUUGCAAGAGUAUUUGAUGUUUGAAUGUUGUCUAAGGUUUUUAAUAGGGUUGUUUUAAUUACCAUGCUAGCUUUAAUUAGUUUGUUUGCAUAUAUGUCUUUAUAUUGAGUUAGUUAAAUUUUGCAACACACUUUUAAACCCCCC